UCUCUCGGUAUCUAAUCGAAUCCUGAGAGCCAGAAACGUCUUUCUUCUACUCUGUUAGUAUUAUUACCUCUCUGUUUUCCCUCUCAAGUUCCAGUCUCUACUUUUCCAUCAAAAUAUCUCAUCCCUUUCUUUCUCUUCCAACCACACAACACUCUCUACUCCUGCUUCUCAAGCACUCCCAUUUUUACUAUUUAUAUUCAUAACUUCCAAUAUCAUAUCUUCUGCUUAAAUCAAAGGAAUUGAGUGUUUUUGCUCUUUCAUUAUCCAUUUUGGAAGAUAUGGCGAAUUCUGGAUUGUUUUCUGGGAACAAGUCUGUGAAUUCAGUGAAAGUGAGCUUUAAGAUACCAUAUUUUACCCAAUGGGGUCAGAGUUUACUGGUGUGUGGCUCUGUGCCAGUGCUUGGUUCCUGGAAUGUGAAGAGGGGUGUGUUGCUUAGCCCUAUUCAUCAAGGGAAUGAGCUUAUAUGGGGUGGAAGCAUCAAAGUUCCUAGAGGGUUCCAAUGCCAGUACAGCUAUUAUGUUGUGGAUGAUAACAAAAAUGUACUGAGAGGGGAGAUGGGGAAGAAGCGCGAACUGGUGCUCCCUGAAGGUAUUCAGAGUGGCCAGGAGAUUGAGUUCCAUGAUCUUUGGCAGACUGGCUCAGAUGCCCUCCCUUUCAGAAGUGCUUUCCGAGAUGUCAUUUUUCGGCAAAGCUGGGAUUUGAGCGUCAACAGAAACACAGGAGUCAACAACAUUACUUUUGAACAGGAAGCAGCAUCUAUUGUGAUCCAAUUCAAAAUUUGUUGCCCAAAUAUUGAGAAAGACACAUCAAUAUAUGUGAUUGGUAGCAAUAUAAAGUUGGGGCAGUGGAAAGUUGAAAAUGGACUAAAACUCAGCUAUUUUGGUGAAUCUGUCUGGAAAGCUGAAUGUGUGAUGCAAAGGAGUGAUUUUCCAAUAAGAUAUAGAUAUGGCAAAUGUAGCAGGUCUGGGAAUUUUUCUAUAGAGAAUGGUCCAAAUCGAGAAGUAUUUAUUAACUCCUCGAGGAAUGAGGCAAAAUAUAUCAUUCUUUCAGACGGCAUGAUGCGGGAAACGCCUUGGCGUGGUGCUGGGGUAGCAAUCCCCAUGUUUUCUGUUAGGUCGGAAUCUGAUCUGGGUGUUGGAGAGUUUCUUGACCUUAAGUUACUAGUUGACUGGGCUGUAGCUUCCGGUUUCCAUUUAGUUCAACUUUUACCAAUCAAUGAUACAUCUGUGCAUGGGAUGUGGUGGGAUUCUUAUCCAUACAGUUCACUCUCAGUCUUUGCAUUGCAUCCCUUGUAUCUGAGAGUACAAGCACUUUCUGAGAAUAUAUCAGAGGAGAUCAAGAAAGAGAUUGAGGAGGCAAAACAGCAGUUGGAUGGGAAGGAUGUUGAUUAUGAAGCUACAAUGGCUACUAAGCUCUCAAUUGCUAAGAAAAUUUUCACUCAAGAGAAAGAUUUGAUACUUAAUUCAAGUUCCUUUCUGGAGUUCUUUUCUGAGAAUGAGGGUUGGUUGAAACCUUAUGCUGCUUUUUGUUUCCUGCGGGACUUUUUUGAAACAUCAGAUCGCAGUCAAUGGGGUCGUUUUGCUCAUUAUUCAGAAGAUAAGCUGGAGAAACUUGUAUCCAAGGAAAGCCUGCAUUAUGAGAUAAUAUGCUUCCACUACUAUGUUCAAUACCAUCUACAUUUACAAUUAUCAGAAGCUGCUGAAUAUGCAAGAAAGAAGGGAGUAGUACUGAAGGGAGAUCUUCCUAUCGGAGUUGACAGAAACAGUGUGGAUACCUGGGUUUAUCCAAACUUGUUCCGAAUGAACACUUCUACUGGGGCACCUCCAGAUUAUUUUGAUAAAAAUGGCCAGAAUUGGGGUUUUCCUACUUAUAAUUGGGAAGAAAUGUCAAAGGACAACUAUGCUUGGUGGCGAGCUAGAUUGACACAGAUGGCAAAAUAUUUUACAGCUUACAGGAUUGAUCACAUAUUGGGAUUCUUCCGAAUCUGGGAACUUCCAGAUCAUGCCGCAACAGGUCUAGUUGGAAAAUUCCGGCCAUCUAUUGCUCUUAGUCAGGAAGAACUUGAAAGAGAAGGAAUAUGGGACUUUAAUCGCUUGAGUCGCCCAUAUAUUAGGCAGAAACUAUUACAGGAAAAAUUUGGUGCUGCUUGGACUUUUGUUGCAACAACUUUUUUAAAUGAAUUGGAUAAGAACUGUUAUGAGUUCAAGGAGGACAGCAACACGGAGAAAAAAAUUGCUUCCAAACUGAAAACCUGUACUGAAAGUUCUCUCUUGUUGGAGAGUGAAGACAAAAUGCUGCGCAAUCUCUUCAAUCUUAUACAGAAUAUAGUUCUAAUCCGAGAUCCAGAGGAUCCAAGAAAAUUUUAUCCUCGCUUCAACCUUGAAGAUACCUCAAGUUUCAUGGAUUUGGAUGACAAAAGCAAGAAUGUUCUCAAAAGAUUAUACUAUGAGUACUAUUUCCAUCGUCAAGAGAAUCUUUGGAGGCAAAAUGCAUUGAAGACCCUGCCUGUACUUCUAAACUCAUCCGACAUACUGGCCUGUGGGGAAGAUUUGGGCCUCAUUCCAUCUUGUGUCCAUCCUGUUAUGCAAGAAUUGGGAUUAGUUGGGUUGCGCAUUCAACGCAUGCCCAAUGAACCUGGUCUGGAAUUUGGUAUUCCUUCUCAAUACAGCUACAUGACGGUAUGUGCCCCAUCCUGUCAUGACUGUUCCACCUUGCGUGCAUGGUGGGAAGAAGAUGAAGAAAGAAGACACCGGUUUUUCAAGAAUGUGGUGGAGUCUGACGAGUUGCCACCUGAUCAAUGUGUGCCAGAAGUUGCCCAUUUUAUUAUAAGGCAACAUUUUGAAGCCCCAUCAAUGUGGGCAAUCUUCCCUCUUCAGGUAUUCUAUUCUGACAUGAUGAACAGAAGUAGACUUAAAUGCAUUUUUUGUCUAUUUAGUUUGGACCAUGUACAAUUUUGAUCCCCUAUUUUUUUUUAAUUAACUAAGUUCAUGUAUUUGAAAAAUUAAGCAAAUUUGGUUGUUUUACGUAAAACUCAAAUUAUUAUUUUUUUGUCUGACUAUUUUGGGGGGAGGGGGGGAGAGAGGUUAUGAUAGGUUUAUAAUAUGGAAUUAUUUUAAAUGUUUAGAAGUCCAAAAAUUUUGUGGUGAUUUGAUAAGAUUUUUAGGAUUUAAUAAGAAGUGGGAUUAGAAUUCGAAGAAAGUAAGUAUUGAAUUUCUUUUUUAUUUUGACUGAAAAUUGAUAUUUUGGUUGGUGAGUUUUGAAUAAAAGAAGGUUUAAAAUAAUUUAAUCAAUUCAAUUUGUAAGGAUUUUGAGUAGAAAUGAGAAUGAGAUUUAGGUCAAAGAAAAUUGAUGAAGGGACCAAAUAUUUUAAACAGUGGAGGGACUUAAUUAACUAAAAGAAAUUAAGGGAACCAAAAUUAUAGAGUCCAAAUUAGAAAGACCAAAAGUACAAUUUAGCUAAAAAAAGUUGUUAGAUUUUGUUUAAUUUCCUAAGAUUGCCCUUUCGGACUGCACUAGUUGUUUAUGGCUUUCUGGACUGGCUUCAUUAUAAUUAUUUCUCUGCGGAUGAAAAUCAUGCUCAUAAUCUGGGUGCACUGUGUCUGUGUGGACAGGACUUGUUAGCAUUAAAAGGAGAAUACAGAACACGCCCUGCAACAGAGGAGACAAUCAACGACCCUACCAAUCCAAAGCAUUAUUGGAGAUACCGUGUGCAUGUGACUCUGGAAUCACUGAUUAAGGAUAAGGAGCUUCAAACCAUCAUCAAAGAUCUUGUACGUUGGGGUGGAAGAUCACUCCCUCAGGAAGAUUUAGAAAUAGAAGGGAGCAUAGCGUCAAAAUUGUCAGUAUCAGAAGCUGUUUCUGAGAAGCAGAAGAUUGCCAGCAAUGGAGAAAAGCCUCGUGUCGUCAAAUAGAAAUUGUAGCUAAUUUCAUCCAUGCUCAUACUAUUCAUAUCAUAACCUGAAACAAUGAAGAAAACAAUAAGGAUCAUCCUUCCUGUGCUCCAUCUUUUUCCUUAAUUAUGUUUCUUAAUAAAGAACCCAUAAAUCUUGAAGCAUGUGUUUGUAUAGUGUAGCCUUAUGUGCCUCUAAGUUUUAGCUAUAAUAAUCAUAGUAAUUUUUUUCUUUCCUACAAGAGGAACUCGUAAUGCAAUUAUAAUUAUUAAUAAUAAAAAUUCA